AGCACUUCUCUCUCCUGCCACCACAUGAAGAAAGACAUGUUUGCUUCCCCUUCCGCCAUGAGUGGCCUCUCAGCUUGUGGCAUGAUUCACUGAAAUACAUCAAACAUGACAGAAGAUGCAAGCAUUUGGAAACUUACAUCAGCCAUCAUCAAAUUAAAAAGCCUCAGAGAAAAAUAGAAAACCAGGGACUUCUUCAUACAGAAGACUGCCUUCAUUUUCCACUGCAACCACCAAAGGGAAUUAGGCAUUUCUAUACCAAACAGCACAAUCUGGGAGUCGUAGCUUGGCUCCUUUAUUAACUCCUGUAUCAAUACACAACUGAGAAUCAAGAAUUUAGAUUGCAAAAUUUACUGUGCUCUAAGUGUUCCACAGGCUCUUCUCCCCAAGGUCAGGCUUGCAAGCGGCCCUCAGCUUCUUGUUCUAUGUUGUUCUGCUUUGAAAAUGUCUGUUUGGCCGGGCGCGGUGGCUCACGCCUGUAAUCCCAGCACUUUGGGAGGCCGAGGCGGGAGGAUCACGAGGUCAGGAGAUCGAGACCAUCCUGGCUAACUCUGUGAAAACCCAUCUCUACUAAAAAUAGAAAAAAAAAAUUAGCCGGGCGGGGUGGCGGGCGCCUGUAGUCCCAACCACUCGGGAGGCUGACACAGGAAGAAUGGCGUGAACCCGGGAGGCGGAGCUUGCAGGGAGCCGAGAUCGCGCCACUGCACUCCAGCCUGGGCAACAGAGCGAGACUCCAUCUCAAAAAAAAAAAAAGGAAAGAAAGAAAGAAAGAAAAUCUCAGCUCAACUUUCUUCCAAGGCACAAGUCUUUCUUUCUCACAGUUGCUGUUGACCUUCACUCCUAGUUCACCUUUUCUGCCUCCAGCUCUCCAAGAGACAACAUAUCUCCCUGUUAUCAUUCUGAUAUACCUGCCUAAAUAUGGAUUUUCAGUAGCAAAGCAAUUGCUUUGCUCUGAAUUCAGCCAAAUAGGGGUACUUGGAAGUCAUAGGUAACUGAUAAAGGUGAGGAUGGUUUCAAAAAUUAAAAGAAUGUUCUUCCUGAUAAAAAGAAUGUAUGGUCAUUGUAAAAAAAAAAUCUAACACAAUACAAAAGAAAGGAAAAUAGAAGACCUUUUAUCACAGGACCUAGAGAUAACCACUCUUAAUAUUUUGGUUAAAGUUUUAUAUUCAUUCAUUCGUUCAUUCAUUCAUUUAUUCAUUCCUUCAACAAAUAUUCAUCUGUGUCUACUGGAUACUUAACACUGUUUUAGGCUCAAGGGAUACAUCUAUAAACAAAGUGGAAAAACAAAACACUAGCUGGGCACAGUGGCUCACACCUAUAAUCCCAGCAGUUUAGGAGGCCAA
rnacentral:lncRNA from 1 species